UAGAGUUUGAUCCUGGCUCAGAUUGAACGCUGGCGGCAUGCUUUACACAUGCAAGUCGAACGGCAGCGCGGGCUUCGGCCUGGCGGCGAGUGGCGAACGGGUGGGUAAUAUAUCGGAACGUACCCAAGAGUGGGGGAUAACGUAGCGAAAGUUACGCUAAUACCGCAUACGAUCUAAGGAUGAAAGCAGGGGACCGCAAGGCCUUGUGCUCCUGGAGCGGCCGAUAUCUGAUUAGCUAGUUGGUGAGGUAAAGGCUCACCAAGGCAACGAUCAGUAGCUGGUCUGAGAGGACGACCAGCCACACUGGAACUGAGACACGGUCCAGACUCCUACGGGAGGCAGCAGUGGGGAAUUUUGGACAAUGGGGGCAACCCUGAUCCAGCAAUGCCGCGUGAGUGAAGAAGGCCUUCGGGUUGUAAAGCUCUUUUGUCAGGGAAGAAAAGGGAGUGGCUAAUAUCCAUUCCUGCUGACGGUACCUGAAGAAUAAGCACCGGCUAACUACGUGCCAGCAGCCGCGGUAAUACGUAGGGUGCAAGCGUUAAUCGGAAUUACUGGGCGUAAAGCGUGCGCAGGCGGUUUCGUAAGUCUGUCGUGAAAUCCCCGGGCUUAACCUGGGAAUGGCGAUGGAGACUGCGAGGCUAGAGUUUGGCAGAGGGGGGUAGAAUUCCACGUGUAGCAGUGAAAUGCGUAGAGAUGUGGAGGAACACCGAUGGCGAAGGCAGCCCCCUGGGUCAAAACUGACGCUCAUGCAC
rnacentral:rRNA from 1 species